rnacentral:lncRNA from 1 species
GAAUUGAUGGGGAAGGCCGACACAGGAAGCGACCCUCGGCGGUGCGCGGAUGUCGUGAGGUUAGGUUCACCAUGCAUGGUUAAAGAACUCGAAUCGAUUCGUCUGCCUCUCAUAGUUUGAGACUGCUUGAUCGCUAUGCUACACUGAGUAAGAAAAGAAUCUGAUGAUGACAUGGUCUUGAUGAUGUUAUAUACCCUUUUGUUGGAUCUAUGUUUGCUUAGAG